rnacentral:rRNA from 1 species
UCAGGAUGAACGCUGGCGGCGUGCUUAACACAUGCAAGUCGAACGAUGAUCCCAGCUUGCUGGGGGAUUAGUGGCGAACGGGUGAGUAACACGUGAGUAACCUGCCCUUAACUCUGGGAUAAGCCUGGGAAACUGGGUCUAAUACCGGAUAUGACUCCUCAUCGCAUGGUGGGGGGUGGAAAGCUUUAUUGUGGUUUUGGAUGGACUCGCGGCCUAUCAGCUUGUUGGUGAGGUAAUGGCUCACCAAGGCGACGACGGGUAGCCGGCCUGAGAGGGUGACCGGCCACACUGGGACUGAGACACGGCCCAGACUCCUACGGGAGGCAGCAGUGGGGAAUAUUGCACAAUGGGCGAAAGCCUGAUGCAGCGACGCCGCGUGAGGGAUGACGGCCUUCGGGUUGUAAACCUCUUUCAGUAGGGAAGAAGCGAAAGUGACGGUACCUGCAGAG